UACGGAGGGGGCUAGCGUUGUUCGGAAUUACUGGGCGUAAAGCGCACGUAGGCGGCUUUGUAAGUUAGAGGUGAAAGCCCAGGGCUCAACCCUGGAAUUGCCUUUAAGACUGCAUCGCUUGAAUCCGGGAGAGGUGAGUGGAAUUCCGAGUGUAGAGGUGAAAUUCGUAGAUAUUCGGAAGAACACCCGUGGCGAAGGCGGCUCUCUGGAACGCAACUGACGCUGAGACGCGAAAGCGUGGGGAGCAAACAGG
rnacentral:rRNA from 1 species